rnacentral:lncRNA from 1 species
CACUGAGAACCCUAAUGCCUAGAAACCCUUGACUAUAUCAAUCAAAGUAUAAUAAAUGUAAACUAGGAUAAGAAGAAUACUUGUAGCGCUAAUCCAAUUUUUAUGAGGCAUCCAAGUGUCCACCCUCCAACAGUGAUCCACACAAAAAUUAGACCAAAGACAGCACUCCUCCUUCACCUUGCUUCAAGAGUUCUAGCCCCUAGAACUCGAUUAGCCCUGUAUCGAUCAGGUUUUUCCAAGAACUUGACCCGACCCUCUC